rnacentral:rRNA from 1 species
UAGGGAAUCUUCCACAAUGGGCGCAAGCCUGAUGGAGCAACGCCGCGUGGGUGAAGAAGGUCUUCGGAUCGUAAAACUCUGUUGUUAGAGAAGAACAUGCAGGAGAGUAACUGUUCUUGUAUUGACGGUAUCUAACCAGAAAGCCACGGCUAACUACGUGCCAG